AACUUCAAAGGAAUUUCAGAUUUGGGUUUAUCUCCUUCUCCUCUCACCACACAAAAGGGAGCUCCACGGAAGAUGGAAGAAGCAGUCCACGAUAGUGCAUAGGACUCAGCGGGAUACCAAUCCAUCCUCCCUUAUUGUGAGGUGGUUGGGUUGGAUCUGGUGGAUGAUGAAAGAAAACCCGAACGAUGCCCCACAAAACAUAUGCCUGCACCAGAACAGUGGACCAACAUCUUCAAUCCUGCGUUUUCAUACUAUGCAUAUUGCUGUUAUGCUAACCUCUACACCCUGAACAAGGCUGCUGCUGAGGCUCAGAAAUCAAGUGGAAUUCAGCAGGGUUCUGUUGAAGCUAGGAAGAACAAUGCAAAAAUUCAACAGCAUGGAGGGUAUAUUUCAAUAAUGUACAAUCGGAAAUAAGUCUAUUGGAAGACAUGUUAAAUGGAGUAUUCAGGCUUCUGAGUCGGCAAACGAAGAUUACAUGCAUGUAGAGCACGAAGAGGACAGACUACUAACAAUCAUUAUCUAGCAGAAAGGGUUAGGAGAGGAAAAACCAGUGAGAGGAUGAAAUUUCUUCAAGGCCUUGUACCUGGUUGCAGCAAGGUGAUUUAUGUACCUACUAUCCCGUGUUCCGGGGGAAUAUAUAGCCUUAUUGUAUAUCGGUACCGUUUCAUGUAUGAAUAUUCUGGCUACUUCACCAGUGUUUUCUUCAAAAUCUUGAACUUAUGUUUCUCGUGUA